rnacentral:rRNA from 1 species
AACACAUGCAAGUCGAACGAGAAAGCGGGGGCAACUCCGCGAGUAAAGUGGCGACCGGGUGAGUAACACGUGACUAACCUGCCCUCGAGCGGGGGAUAACCCCGGGAAACCGGGGCUAAUACCGCAUAACAUCUUCGAUAUGAAAGUAUUGAGGAUCAAAGGAGCAAUUCACUUGAGGAGGGGGUCGCGGCCGAUUAGCUAGUUGGCGGGGUAACGGCCCACCAAGGCUGAGAUCGGUAGCCGGCCUGAGAGGGCGCACGGCCACACUGGAACUGAAACACGGUCCAGACUCCUACGGGAGGCAGCAGUGGGGAAUUUUGCGCAAUGGGGGGAACCCUGACGCAGCAACGCCGCGUGGAGGAUGAAGUCCCUUGGGACGUAAACUCCUUUCGACCGGGAAGAUAAUGACGGUACCGGAAGAAGAAGCACCGGCUAACUCUGUGCCAGCAGCCGCGGUAAUACAGAGGGUGCGAACGUUGUUCGGAAUUAU